GACAGAGGGGGCAAGCGUUGCUCGGAAUUACUGGGCGUAAAGGGCGCGUAGGCGGGAUGGCAAGUCGGUCGUGAAAUCCUUCGGCUCAACCGAAGAACGUCGGCCGAUACUGCCGUUCUUGAGGGAUGCAGAGGAGAUUGGAAUUCCCGGUGUAGCGGUGAAAUGUGUAGAGAUCGGGAGGAACACCGGUGGCGAAGGCGGGUCUCUGGACAGUUCCUGACGCUGAGGCACGAAGGUCAGGGGAGCAAACGGG
rnacentral:rRNA from 1 species